rnacentral:rRNA from 1 species
GAUGAACGCUAGCUACAGGCUUAACACAUGCAAGUCGAGGGGAAACGAUAUUGGAAGCUUGCUUCCGAUAGGCGUCGACCGGCGCACGGGUGAGUAACGCGUAUCCAACCUGCCCAUCACUUGGGGAUAACCUUGCGAAAGUAAGACUAAUACCCAAUGAUAUCUCUAGAAGACAUCUGAAGGAGAUUAAAGAUUUAUCGGUGAUGGAUGGGGAUGCGUCUGAUUAGCUUGUUGGCGGGGUAACGGCCCACCAAGGCGACGAUCAGUAGGGGUUCUGAGAGGAAGGUCCCCCGCAUUGGAACUGGGACACGUUCCAAACGCCUACGGGAGGCAGCAGUGAGGAAUAUUGGUCAAUGGGCGAGAGCCUGAACCAGCCAAGUAGCGUGCAGGAUGACGGCCCUAUGGGUUGUAAACUGCUUUUAUAAGGGAAUAAAGUGAGUCUCGUGAGACUUUUUGCAUGUACCAUAUGAAUAAGGACCGGCUAAUUCCGUGCCAGCCGCCGCCGUAA